GCAUCUGUGGCGGAACGGUAGACGCGCGGGCUUGAGGGGCUCGUACUUAACGGUGUGGAAGUUCAAAUCUUCUCAGGUGCACCA
rnacentral:tRNA from 1 species